rnacentral:rRNA from 1 species
CAGUAGCCACGGUAAUACAGAGGGUGCAAGCGUUAAUCGGAAUUACUGGGCGUAAAGCGCGCGUAGGUGGUUUGUUAAGUUGGAUGUGAAAUCCCCGGGCUCAACCUGGGAACUGCAUCCAAAACUGGCAAGCUAGAGUAUGGUAGAGGGUGGUGGAAUUUCCUGUGUAGCGGUGAAAUGCGUAGAUAUAGGAAGGAACACCAGUGGCGAAGGCGACCACCUGGACUGAUACUGACACUGAGGUGCGAAAGCGUGUGGAGCAAACAGGAUUAGAGACCCCAGUAGUCCCUGUCUCUUAUAA